GUGGGGAAUAUUGGACAAUGGGGGGAACCCUGAUCCAGCCAUGCCGCGUGUGUGAAGAAGGCCUUUUGGUUGUAAAGCACUUUAAGCGAGGAGGAGGCUACCGAGAUUAAUACUCUUGGAUAGUGGACGUUACUCGCAGAAUAAGCACCGGCUAACUCUGUGCCAGCAGCCGCGGUAAUACAGAGGGUGCAAGCGUUAAUCGGAUUUACUGGGCGUAAAGCGCGCGUAGGUGGCCAAUUAAGUCAAAUGUGAAAUCCCCGAGCUUAACUUGGGAAGUGCAUUCGAUACUGGGUGGCUAGAGUAUGGGAGAGGAUGGUAGAAUUCCAGGUGUAGCUGUGAAAUGCGUAGAGAUCUGGAGGAAUACCGAUGGCGAAGGCAGCCAUCUGGCAUAAUACUGACACUGAGGUGCGAAAGCAUGGGGAGCAAACAGGAUUAGAAACCCCAGUAGUCC
rnacentral:rRNA from 1 species